rnacentral:ncRNA from 1 species
CUGGUUCCGGUUCACGUCCCCACGAGGGGACGACCCGGCGACC